UAGGGAUGAAACGACUGCUAAGACUGGAUAGGAAGAAAUAAGGCAUCUUUUUUCUUUUAAAAGACCUAGUGAUAGGUAUACUUUAGGAGGGGCUUGCGCCAUAUUAGUUAGUUGGUAGGGUAAUGGCCUACCAAGACGAUGAUGUGUAGCUGGACUGAGAGGUUGAACAGCCACAUUGGGACUGAGACACGGCCCAAACUCCUACGGGAGGCAGCAGUAGGGAAUUUUCGGCAAUGGAGGAAACUCUGACCGAGCAACGCCGCGUGAACGACGAAGUACUUUGGUAUGUAAAGUUCUUUUAUCAAGGAAGAAAAGCAAGUGGUGAACCAUUUGUUUGCCGGUACUUGAUGAAUAAGCCCCGGCUAAUUAUGUGCCAGCAGCCGCGGUAAGACAUAAGGGGCAAGUGUUAUCCGGAAUUAUUGGGCGUAAAGGGUGCGUAGGCGGUCUAGUAAGUCAGUGGUGUAAUGGCAACGCUCAACGUUGUCCGGCUAUUGAAACUGCUAAACUUGAGUUAGAUAGAGGCGAGUGGAAUUCCAUGUGUAGCGGUAAAAUGCGUAAAUAUAUGGAGGAACACCAGAGGCGUAGGCGGCUCGCUGGGUCUUAACUGACGCUGAGGCACGAAAGCGUGGGGAGCAAACAGGAUUAGAUACCCUGGUAGUCCACGCCGUAAACGAUGAGUACUAAGUGUCGGGUUAAACCGGUACUGAAGUUAACACAUUAAGUACUCCGCCUGAGUAGUACGUACGCAAGUAUGAAACUUAAAGGAAUUGACGGGACUCCGCACAAGCGGUGGAUCAUGUUGUUUAAUUCGAAGAUACCCGAAAAACCUUACCAGGUCUUGACAUGUUUUUGCAAAAUGAUAGUAAUAUCGUGGAGGUUACCAGAAACACAGGUGGUGCAUGGUUGUCGUCAGCUCGUGUCGUGAGAUGUUAGGUUAAGUCCUAAAACGAGCGAAACCCUUAUCGUUAGUUGCCAGCACGUUAUGGUGGGGACUUUAACGAGACUGCCAAUGAUAAAUUGGAGGAAGGUGAGGAUCACGUCAAAUCAGCAUGCCCCUUAUGACCUGGGCUACAAACGUGAUACAAUGGCUGUUACAAAGGGUAGCUGAAACGCAAGUUCUUGGCCAAUCCCCAAAAACAGUCCCAGUCCGGAUUGAAGUCUGCAACUCGACUUCAUGAAGUUGGAAUCGCUAGUAAUCGCGAAUCAACAUGUCGCGGUGAAUACGUUCUCGGGGUUUGUACACACCGCCCGUCAAACCACGAAAGUUGGCAAUACCCCAAAACGGUAGCCUAACUCGUUUAUUCGAGAGGGCGCCGUCUAAGGUAGGGUCGAUGAUUGGGGUUAAGUCGUAACAAGGUAUCCCUACCGGAAGGUGGGGAUGGAUCACCUCCUUUCUAAGGAAACCAAUAAAAUCAAUCAUCUUCAGUUUUGAAAGACUUAGGCAACUAAGUUUUUCUUCGUGACUUCACGAAGGGCCUAUAGCUCAGUUGGUUAGAGCACACGCCUGAUAAGCGUGAGGUCGGUGGUUCAAGUCCAUUUAGGCCCACCAGAGUUAUAGGUUUCGUAAGAACACAAAUUCUUUGAAAAUUAGGUAAAUAAUAGUUAUUUAUCCGGAACAUUAAAGGAAAUAAGAGCGCACAGUGGAUGCCUAGGCACCAAGAGCCGAUGAAGGACGAAUCUAGAUGCAU
rnacentral:rRNA from 1 species